UACGGGGGGGGCAAGCGUUGUUCGGAAUUACUGGGCUUAAAGGGUGCGUAGGCGGCGCAGAAAGUUGGGUGUGAAAUCCCUCGGCUCAACCGAGGAACUGCGCCCAAAACUACUGUGCUUGAGGAAGAUAGAGGUAAGCGGAACUUACGGUGGAGCGGUGAAAUGCGUUGAUAUCGUAAGGAACACCUGUGGCGAAAGCGGCUUACUGGGUCUUUUCUGACGCUGAUGCACGAAAGCCAGGGGAGCAAACGGG
rnacentral:rRNA from 1 species